rnacentral:rRNA from 1 species
AUUGAACGCUGGCGGCAUGCCUUACACAUGCAAGUCGAACGGCAGCACGGGAGCAAUCCUGGUGGCGAGUGGCGAACGGGUGAGUAAUGUAUCGGAACGUACCAUUGAGUGGGGGAUAACGUAGCGAAAGUUACGCUAAUACCGCAUAUACCCUGAGGGGGAAAGCAGGGGAUCGCAAGACCUUGUGCUCUUUGAGCGGCCGAUAUCAGAUUAGCUAGUUGGUGAGGUAAAGGCUCACCAAGGCGACGAUCUGUAGCGGGUCUGAGAGGAUGAUCCGCCACACUGGAACUGAGACACGGUCCAGACUCCUACGGGAGGCAGCAGUGGGGAAUUUUGGACAAUGGGGGCAACCCUGAUCCAGCCAUGCCGCGUGAGUGAAGAAGGCCUUCGGGUUGUAAAGCUCUUUCGGCCGGGAGGAAAUCGCAUCAGCUAAUACCUGGUGUGGAUGACAGUACCGGAAUAAGAAGCACCGGCUAACUACGUGCCAGCCGCCGCGGUAAGAC